GUGAGGAAUUUUCCGCAAUGGGCGAAAGCCUGACGGAGCAAUGCUGCGUGAAGGAUGAAGGCCUAUGGGUUGUAAACUUCUUUUCUCAGAAAAGAAUUAUGACGGUAUCUGAGGAAUAAGCAUCGGCUAACUCUGUGCCAGCAGCCGCGGUAAGACAGAGGAUGCAAGCGUUAUCCGGAAUGAUUGGGCGUAAAGCGUCUGUAGGUUGUUUAAAAAGUAUUCUGUCAAAGAUUAGGGCUUAACCCUAGAUAGGCAGAAUAAACUUUUAAGCUAGAGUUUGGUAGAGGCAGAGGGAAUUCCCGGUGGAGCGGUGAAAUGCGUAGAUAUCGGGAGGAACACCAAAGGCGAAGGCACUCUGCUGGGCCAAUACUAACACUGAGAGACGAAAGCGAGGGGAGCAAAUGGGAUUAGAUACCCGAGUAGUCC
rnacentral:rRNA from 1 species